UACAGAGGGCGCGAGCGUUGUCCGGAAUCACUGGGCGUAAAGGGCGCGUAGGUGGCCACUAUAAGGCUGCGGUGAAAGUUCGGGGCUCAACCCCGAAUCUGCCGCGGCGACUGUAGGGCUUGGGCACCGUAGAGGCAGAUGGAAUUCCGGGUGUAGCGGUGGAAUGCGUAGAGAUCCGGAAGAACACCGGUGGCGAAGGCGGCCUGCUGGGCAGUUGCUGACACUGAGGCGCGACAGCGUGGGGAGCAAACAGG
rnacentral:rRNA from 1 species